CUACGGGAGGCAGCAGUGGGGAAUAUUGCACAAUGGGGGAAACCCUGAUGCAGCAACGCCGCGUGAGUGAUGAAGGCCUUCGGGUUGUAAAGCUCUGUCAUUGGGGACGAUAAUGACGGUACCCAAUGAGGAAGCCACGGCUAACUACGUGCCAGCAGCCGCGGUAAUACGUAGGUGGCAAGCGUUGUCCGGAUUUACUGGGCGUAAAGGAUGCGUAGGCGGAUUUUUAAGUGAGAUGUGAAAUUCCCGGGCUUAACUUGGGAGCUGCAUUUCAAACUGGAAGUCUAGAGUGCGGGAGAGGUAAGUGGAAUUCCUAGUGUAGCGGUGAAAUGCGUAGAGAUUAGGAAGAACACCAGUGGCGAAGGCGACUUACUGGACCGUAACUGACGCUGAGGCAUGAAAGCGUGGGGAGCAAACAGGAUUAGAUACCCCGGUAGC
rnacentral:rRNA from 1 species